rnacentral:lncRNA from 1 species
GGUGUCAUUGGAUAAUUUAGCCUGGAGUAAAGAUAGAGGGCUAAUGCAAGUAGCUGUAAGAGCAGUUGGAAGUCUGACAACGAGCAUUAAUUUUAAUGAAAUAAUUCCCUUUGGCACCCAGGUAACCAGAAACGGUCUAGGUCAGGUGCUAGGAAACACUGCAGAGGACGCCGUCAGCAGGAAGACACACUUCUCCAUGAACAUCGCCAUCCAGGAAGCGAGCUGUGCCUACAGAGUGCUGGGCCCCGAGGAGGCCUGGCACUGGGAAAUGGAUCAAUCCUUCCUCUUAAGAAACACUUGAGAAGCACAUAGGCAACUAUUUCAUAGGAGAAUGAAUAACAAGAAAGAAAGAAAAAGAAAACACAGAAGGGGUAACAGAGAAACUGACUUCCACAGACCUAGAGGGAAACGGUUGUUUUUUUAACGGAGGUAGAACAGAUUCGGAGCGCCUUCGAAGAAGAAAGAAGAGCCCCUGACCACACACUGUCCAGAGACGUGGAUCAGGAGGAGUGCCCAGGUUAACCGGCAAGACGAGAGUAAUCAGCGAUUCGGUGAUGAGGCAGGGGCAGGAGGGUGGCUGUCCAAUCGCCUACGCGGAAGGACGUGGAGGAUCAUUCUGCAUCAGAGCAGGACCAGCUGCCAAUGGGAUGGUUCCCAGCCCGACCCUGAAGCCAGCCUUCCUGCAAAGCCUCACAGCCUGGAGCCUUCUGAAUAUCUCAGAUACUCAUCUGGAGGCUACAGACAUGGUUGUGUGAAGCUGACAGAUAGGAUCAUCUGUUUGAAUGCCUCUGGACACCGUGGGAAGACAAAAAAGAUAACUAUUAAAGAAUAUCAAGAGAUUUUGCUCUUGGAGACAUUCAGGUUCUUCUUUCAAAAACAAAAAUGCCACUUUCUUGUGGAGAACUUUUUGGUCUCCUCCCCGAAGUGUGACAGAUCAAGGCCUUGUUCUGUAAGAAUGUUCCAGGCCCUCACGUUGGGGCCCACAGUGUGCAACUGGAAGAAAGGGUGCUGCACACCUGUAUGCAAAUGA